AUUAUAUUGAUUCAGGCAUUAAGUUCUGUGGGCCAUUUGUUUCUUUCCUUCUGUGCUAAGUAAGAACAAGUAAGAACAAAGCAGUAGCAAAAAAAAAAAAAAAAAGCCAGUGACUCCACUUCUCUUUGGGUUGCUGUGGUUACACUAUGUUUGCUACUGACAUCAGUGAGGACUCUGUAAUGCUUGCGUGAUGGACUGUUUUGGGUGCCUCUUUUGCUUGAAGAAAAAAAAAAAGUAGCCGAAGGGGAAAAAAUUAAGUUGUCCAUUUGCAUCUUUCCUUCUAGUCAUGUUUUCAUAACAGGGUGAGCAGUGUUAGUGGUUUACUGAGGAGCAAGUGGUGAUUUUUUUAAUAUGCUUUACAUACAUGCUUUUUUUAUAAUACAGCUACAAAUCAUUUUAGUUGAUAUGGAAACAUAACUAUUUUUCCACUAAGAAAAGAAACACUUCAUUGUUUCCAAAGCUUUGAAAACUACCUCAAAUAGCACCUUUUUCUAUCUAGGUUUUUCUGCCAAUUUCAAGGCCAUUUAAGGUUUUUCAGGUUCUUCCAUUUCUUACGUAAUACAAUGAACAAAUAAGAACAGAAUCAGAACUAUCAGAACAGCUGAUCAUCUUUGCUUACCUGGCCUCAAGUUCACAAGGUUUUAAAAAGUGGCAGGAUGAAUCCAUGUAAAAGAAACCCCUCAAGGUUGUUAAACAUACAGAUACCAAACUUUGACAUUCCUAAGCUGCUGGUGAGGGAAGGCUGGGACAGUAUUUGGGGGAAAUUUCAUAACAUACUUUCCAUGUUGUUAUUCUCUACCCAGACAUAGUUCUUGGUCACUGUUGGGAAGUGGAUAGUAGAAAGAGUACAUCGUUUGUCUGACCUGCUGUGGGCUCAGUUAUGUUCUUAUGCUCUCAGUGUUGCUGACUAGGAUAGCAAAUUGCAAUUUGUUUUGCUAAAUGGCAUCAAAGCCUGAAAAAUGCAGUGUGCUCCACAUCAUUUGAAGCUCAUGGCACUGCAGUGCCUUUCAGGUGGGCUUACUGCUUUGCAGGAAAAAGGUAACGGUUUUGGGUGAUUGUGUAGGUCAACAACUCCAGUUCUCUGACCAACCCGCCAUUUCCCUUACAGAGCAGCCAGCUCAUCUGCAAAGCACAUCUCCUGCAACACAGCCAGCGGUGGGAGCGGUUGGAGGUACUCAGUACAGACAGAGGAAGCAAUCAGCUUUGAAAAAAGAGCUCCAUGAGCAGCCUGCAGACUGUGUGCUUCAAGCUGACAUAUCUCCUGUCUGGGUAAAGGGGACAUCAAAAGAGACCCUUCCUGAACCUCAACAAGCAGUGCGGUCUCAUUGUUUGGCUGCCCAGGUAAGAUAUUCAGUUAUGUUUUUAAACUCCCUGUUCUAAUGAGCCCCAAAUUCUUCUGAGACCAAUUCCUUUGGCCUCUACAUUUUGCAUUCUUCCCAGAGUCAGCAUUUCCUCCUUCUUACAUUUUUUGGGAUGUACAGUAAUCUUUCAUAUUGGUACUGCUGUAGUCUGAGAGAAAAGCAUAGCUGACUUGCAUAUAUCAAUUUUUUUUGAAUGCUGAUCAUGGCAAGAUACUCUCCUGGUAUCAGGAGAAAGCACAGGGCUCAAGGUCCUGAAGGGUGGCACAGGGCAUGAGCAGAAUGGAAAUUCCCUGAGGUUUAUGCUCUGCACUCUUCAGAGCUGCUAUAUGGACCAUAUGGGGACAGGCAUAAAUAACAUCUCUGCGGGCACUUAGGCUCCAGUCAUUUCUGUAGCGCCAGAUAUAAAUUGCGAGAGUACUAUUGUCAAUAGAAUCUGAACUGAAAUCCCACUUUGGUCUUCAUUGCUACAUCUGCUGUUUUGAGUGCACCUCGUACUCUGCCAGAAAAUUGAAAAGGGGAACCUGGCUUUGAACAAAAAUGGUAACGCAUACUUGUAUAACAUUCAGCUCAGGUAAAGCUGCUACAAUGGUAAGAAAAGCUAGAGAAAAUUCAGCACUGCAGAAAUAAGAGAAGGUUGGAGAAAGUUUGGGUUGAAAGCUACUGAGAAUGAAGAGAAGUUCAGAACAGCUAGAGAAUUUAGGCGAAGUAAUUUCCAAUACAAUAGUUAAUAAGCAUCAUACCAGAAAUUACUUAAGUGCAGGAGCAAACAUAAAAUACUGCUAUUGCCAUAUGUGAAAUGAUUGUUUCUGCUCAGGUGUCCCAUAAUCUUCACUAUCUGGGUAAUUUAGCAACUUUCAGUUUGUUUAGGUCAGAAUUCUCCACUGCCCAUUACAGGCUGAAUGUCUCAAGGAAAUGCUAGUGUACUGAGAGGGAUUAGUCCUGGUGGAUGCAGAAGGCCUAACCAUGGUCAGCUUACCUGCCAGCAAAGAAAGUGAUUAUUAUUUAUACUUGGAUUCUAU
ensembl:lncRNA